rnacentral:rRNA from 1 species
AACGCGAAGAACCUUACCCAGGCUCGAAAUGUACUAGACGAUAUCAGAGAUGGUAUUUUCCGCAAGGACUGGUAUAUAGGUGCUGCAUGGCUGUCGUCAGCUCGUGCCGUGAGGUGUUUGGUUAAGUCCAGCAACGAGCGCAACCCUUAUCAUUAGUUGCCAACGUUUAAGACGGGGACUCUAGUGAGACUGCCUGGGUUAACCAGGAGGAAGGUGAGGAUGACGUCAAGUCCGCAUGGCCUUUAUGUCUGGGGCUACACACGUGCUACAAUGGUCGGUACAGAAGGCAGCAAGACCGCAAGGUGGAGCAAAUCCGUAAAGCCGAUCACAGUUCAGAUUGUAGUCUGCAACUCGACUACAUGAAGUUGGAAUUGCUAGUAAUGACGUGUCAGCAACAACGUCGUGAAUACGUUCCCGGGCCUUGUA